UACGUAGGGGGCAAGCGUUGUCCGGAAUCAUUUGGCGUAACGCGCGUGUAGGCGGCCAGAAAAGUCCGCUGUGAAAACUCGAGGCUCAACUUCGAGCUGUCGGUGGAAACUUUCUGGCUAGAGUCCGGAAGAGGAGAAUGGAAUUCCUGGUGUAGCGGUGAAAUGCGCAGAUAUCAGGAAGAACACCCGUGGCGAAGGCGGUUCUCUGGGACGGUACUGACGCUGAGACGCGAAAGCGUGGGGAGCGAACAGG
rnacentral:rRNA from 1 species